rnacentral:rRNA from 1 species
AGAGUUUGAUCCUGGCUCAGGACGAACGCUGGCGGCGUGCUUAACACAUGCAAGUCGAACGAUGAACUGGAGCUUGCUCCAGGGAUUAGUGGCGAACGGGUGAGUAACACGUGAGUAACCUGCCCUUGACUCUGGGAUAAGCGCUAGAAAUGGCGUCUAAUACCGGAUACGAGCUUCAGCCGCAUGGCUAGGAGUUGGAAAGAAUUUUGGUCAAGGAUGGACUCGCGGCCUAUCAGCUAGUUGGUGAGGUAAUGGCUCACCAAGGCGACGACGGGUAGCCGGCCUGAGAGGGUGACCGGCCACACUGGGACUGAGACACGGCCCAGACUCCUACGGGAGGCAGCAGUGGGGAAUAUUGCACAAUGGGCGAAAGCCUGAUGCAGCAACGCCGCGUGAGGGAUGACGGCCUUCGGGUUGUAAACCUCUUUUAGUAGGGAAGAAGCGAAAGAGACGGACCUGCAGAAAAAGCACC